GCCGACGAGAAACAGCUGAGUUCAUUGCCCUCCCCCUCCCGUAGUUAAGGAGAAGCUGCAGGCGACGAAGGGCAUGAGACGUCACUGAGAACAUGGCUUGUGAUGAUCAUCUUAGUUACCAAGCAGGACACUACAGGAGAAGGUGGUCCUUCAGGUACUACAGUCCCAAGCUAUUUAGGGCCUUAAAGGCUCUUCAGUUUCUCAUGGGACCGGAAGGCAUAGGGUUGGAGCAAGCCUGCUACAUGGUCUGUUUCACUACACAAGCUUAAGAAAGUGGCCAGAGGCAAGUGGCUCAUGCAGUGAUACAGCCCUGCUUAUGUUGCUUGAGAGAUCAUGAAGAUCUUCAACAUCAUGUCGCAAUGAAGAAUAACAGUCAGUUCUUUCAAAGAGACCAGAUGGCAUCCCAAGGUGACAGUUUAGGAGCCUUGAAUGCUCCAAGAGCUUCUGGGAAAACAUGUUUUUUUCCUCCUUUAAUGACCCUGCUGCUAGUAAAGCUCUGCUGUUCUUUCAAAAGGACAUCCCUGUGCCAAGAAAGACAAAAGAGAAAAAAAAAGUAAACCAAAGUGGUUAUCAGACUCAAGGAUGCUGAUUCAGAAUCCUCAAGGAUGCUGCCAAAGUACAAAGUUCUGCAUUAUCAGACUGAACAACUGAAUACAGAACAUUUUGUGGACCAAUGUGGUGCUGUGGUUAGAGAGUUGGACUUGGGCUCCAUUCAAAUCCCCACUGGCCAUGAAGUUCAGUGGGUGACCUUGGGCCAGUCGUUAAGGAUGAAAUGGAGGACAGGACUAGAGAAGAACUUUGGGUGUCACCCUGAAUUCUUGGGGUAAGGGUAGGAGACAAAUGCAUAAUAGAUAGUUGUCAUUCAAAGAAAACCUGGAAAUGUUGGAACUGUUCUGUCAUUCUGAUUCAAAGAAUUUCCAAAGCCACAGAAGUAUUGUCGAAGGCUUUCACGGCCGGAGAACGAUGGUUGUUGGGGGUUUUCCGGGCUGUCUUGCCGUGGUCUUGGCAUUGUAG